GCUCCUGAAUUCUUGAAUGCCAAGAUGGAGGACAGCCCAAGGGUUCCCUUGGCUGAGGGAGGACUUGUUCCAGCACACACGAAACAGUGUUGUGCUUUGAAAAACAUUGGCCAAUGUUCAUGCACUAGAGAGAGAACUCUAACCUUGGGGUCUACGUGUGGGGUAACCUUAUAGGUCAUGCGGGGGUUUGGCGGCCUUGGUGGAAAGGCUGCCAUAGAUUACACUCCGGGUAAUGGAUCAAUGAUCAGUAAGCACUGGUGGUCUGAUCAUGCAUCCCAGUGUCUCAUACUCAUUUGGCAGAUGGACUAACCCCUUUUGAAAUCAGUGAGCCUCCAGGAUCUUUAUAUGAUUUGUGUUGGGGCUGGUGAGAGUUCUCCAGAGGGAAUUACUGGGCUUCCUGCCAAUGUGAUUAUAUAGGAUCAAGCCAACUCUGGGUAACUCAAGCUGGUGAAAAGGAUCAUACUCAUUAUACUUAUUUCUUUUUAGUACCCAGGGUCCCACAGCAUGGCAUCUCCUGAAAGCUUCAUAAAUACUUAAUAAAUUGAAGUUUACGAUUUCUGAGAUUAAAAUUCCUGAGAUUAAAAAAAAAGGGACAAGUGUGUAUUGAUCUACCAUAUUCCAGCAUGGUGCUAUGGGCCAUCACCUUUGUUACCUGCUUUCAUCUUCCCCAGAAGGAACUACAGAGAAGCCUGGUCUACCCUUUCUUCUGGAGGACGGUGGCAUAACGUGUCGCAUAGCCAGACAGUUUGCAGGAUGCUGACCUGAGACGGUCCAUGCUGGAUACCGGAAUCCUGUCUUCUACUCAGAUAAAAUAUUCAGAGAAGAUCCACCGACACCAAGUGUCUGUAUAUAGCAAAUACUAGAGGGAUCUUUCAUAAUGGAAUUUACAAGGACCACUACUAAAGGUUUUAUUGAGAAUGUUAGAAAUGCACUCUUUCAAGAGAACUAUGAAUAUUUAUAUGCAGUGAUAUAUGACAAACCGCCAAGGAAACACAGGGGGUUGAGCGAUCUGUUUCUCCUUCCUUGUCACUAAGAAACUGGAGAUCACACGUCCUUCAACAGUAUGGCUAAGGGCCUACUUUCUAGCUGGUGUGAAUCUCUGCGAUGUUUCACACUGUUCUUGUGGUGCGUGAUAUGGUUGUACUUUAGGGACUUUUAACGGAACAUGGGAGUUGUAAGUUUCUGAUUGUGCCCUUCAUCCUUUCUCUUGCAUCUGUUUUCACUUUCCAGGGAUCUUUUGAACUCGAGUAUCUUUUGAUUUUUUGUGUCUGUGAGUGGGAGAGGUUUGGAAGUGCUUUCGGUAAGCCAGGAGUAGAAAUGGGAAACAGCUUAUGUGAUGCUCCAUCAGAACUGCCCCUAAGGCUCCCCUGGCCCCAGUGGCUCAGGGCUCUGCUGCUCCAAUGCCCUCCCAUUUAGGGGUGAAGGUAGGGUGGUGGGUGGGGGUGAUGGUAGCGCACAGAAAUCACCAAGUACAGAACUCGAGUCUCGGCUGGAGCUCAGCAAGUGCUGGUUACAUUUCCUCCCCACCGGGUCUUUCACGGAACUCUGGGGGAGCAAAAGUGAACCUCUGCCUGUGCACACGGAAGGGGCGUUGACUCUGAGCCUCAUGGGGGCCUUGCCACAAGUGCUACCUACACUUUGCAGGCUUCUGACCUGAAUCGGUCCAUGUUGGACACUUGAACAAUCGGAAACUGAAACCUGUCCAAGUUCAGUUAUAGGACCUCUAAAGGGGAGUGCCCCACACCUGUUCAGGUGGCCAGUCCUCCCCACCACCCAGAGGUCAGUUUAAGGAAACAGAGGGACAAAACUGAAAUAUAUCUCAAGAAAUCAUGGGGUUCUAAUGAAAAACCAAUUAGAGCAGACAGAUGGCCGACACACACUUCCAACUUUGUUUAGGAUAUUUAGAGCAGUUAUUUUUAUGUCAUGUGAAGGCAGUGCCUGACAGCAGGUGUUAGUCACCAUCAUUUAGAGUGUGUCUAAUAGAGCCUUAGGUACGGGAAGCAGGAUUACUGACAUUUUAUUUUGUCAUUUUCCUAUUAAGAUGUCAAACAGACUUUUUUAACAGCAUUUUUAAUGAUUUCAGGGGACAAUUUAUCAGCUCUCAUCUCUGAGCUCCUGACACACUCAGAAUAGAACAUUCUUUCCAUGUCUUUAUAAACCAAGUGUUUCAAGGAAAGAAUAUCAGGGCUGUCAUAAGGAAGGACUGCCAACCGGGUGGCUUAAACAACGGGAAUGUAUGGUCUUAAUCUAAUGGCUAGAAGUCCAAAAUCCAGAUGUUAGCAGGUUUGGUUCCUUCUGAGGACUCUGCAGGAAAAUCUGUUCUAAGCCUUUCUCUCCAUUCUGAUAAUCUUAGACGUUCCUUGACUUUUUUCUAUGGACAUCGUUCAUACUGGAUGGAUUAGAGCCUACUUCAUCUGACCUCGAUCAUCUGCACAGAUCCUACUUACAAAUACAAAUAUGUGUUGAUAAAUGUAUAUACCUCUGUCUUA